rnacentral:rRNA from 1 species
UACGUAGGGUGCAAGCGUUAAUCGGAAUUACUGGGCGUAAAGCGUGCGCAGGCGGUUUUGUAAGUCUGUCGUGAAAUCCCCGGGCUCAACCUGGGAAUUGCGAUGGAGACUGCAAGGCUAGAAUCUGGCAGAGGGGGGUAGAAUUCCACGUGUAGCAGUGAAAUGCGUAGAGAUGUGGAGGAACACCGAUGGCGAAGGCAGCCCCCUGGGCUAACACUGACGCUCAGGCACGAAAGGCGUGGGGAGCAAACGAGG